rnacentral:rRNA from 1 species
UACGUAGGCAGCAAGCGUUGUUCGGAGUUACUGGGCGUAAAGAGUGCGUAGGCGGUCCUGUAAGUUUGGUGUGAAAUCUCCCGGCUCAACUGGGAGGGUGCGCCGAAGACUGCAGGGCUUGAGUAUGGGAGAGGUAAGCGGAAUUCCUGGUGUAGCGGUGAAAUGCGUAGAUAUCAGGAGGAACACCAAUUGCGAAGGCAGCUCGCUGGGACGUUACUGACGCUGAGACGCGAAAGCGUGGGGAGCGAACAGG